GACAAACAACUCUGACAUUUUACUUUGAUAUUUUAAAAUUGUAAAUGUGGACAUUUAAUUAUUCUAUAGCUUUAAUAAAAUUUAGUUUUGAACCUCUGGCGCUUCUUAUUAAAAUUUGAUACUGUGAAGGCCUCUUUGCUACUUAACCUCGUCCGAUGAAUUAAUUAGUUCUGCAUGGAAUAGUAAACUUUUUUUUCUUUUUUCUUGUAACUUGAUGGAAUGGUAAACUGACAAAAACAUUUCAUAAAUAUGAAUCCAAUUCGCCAUAUUUUAAAAAGUUUGAAGUCUAUGUUUGAGAUUCUUUUUUUCCUUUCUUUUAACGUCUGUUUAUAUAUGUACAUAUUCUUCCAUAUAUUAUGCGUUCUCUAAAUGGUAUCGAAUGUGCAUGAAACUUUAAGACUAAAACGAUGGUAUAUAUUGAAAUAUUAAGAAUCUAGCUUUUAGUUAGUAUGUUGUUGUUGUUAGGUUCGUUUUCGCAUUAGGAUGUUG
rnacentral:lncRNA from 1 species